rnacentral:rRNA from 1 species
AUUGAACGCUGGCGGCAGGCCUAACACAUGCAAGUCGAGCGGAUGACGGGAGCUUGCUCCUUGAUUCAGCGGCGGACGGGUGAGUAAUGCCUAGGAAUCUGCCUGGUAGUGGGGGACAACGUUUCGAAAGGAACGCUAAUACCGCAUACGUCCUACGGGAGAAAGCAGGGGACCUUCGGGCCUUGCGCUAUCAGAUGAGCCUAGGUCGGAUUAGCUAGUGGGUGAGGUAAUGGCUCACCUAGGCGACGAUCCGUAACUGGUCUGAGAGGAUGAUCAGUCACACUGGAACUGAGACACGGUCCAGACUCCUACGGGAGGCAGCAGUGGGGAAUAUUGGACAAUGGGCGAAAGCCUGAUCCAGCCAUGCCGCGUGCGUGAAGAAGGUCUUCGGAUUGUAAAGCACUUUAAGUUGGGAGGAAGGGCAGUAAGUUAAUACCUUGCUGUUUUGACGUUACCGACAGAAUAAGCACCGGCUAACUCUGUGCCAGCCGCCGCCGUAAUAC